rnacentral:rRNA from 1 species
CCUACGGGAGGCAGCAGUAGGGAAUCUUCCACAAUGGGCGAAAGCCUGAUGGAGCAACGCAGCGUGGGUGAAGAAGGUCUUCGGAUCGUAAAACCUUGUUGUUAGAGAAGUAAGUGCGUGAGAGUAACUGUUCACGUUUCGACGGUAUCUAACCAGAAAGCCAAGGCUAACUACGUGCCAGCAGCCGCGGUAAUACGUAGGUGGCGAGCGUUAACCGGAUUUAUUGGGCGUAAAGGGAACGCAGACGGUCUUUUAAGUCUGAUGUGAAAGCCUUCGGCUUAACCGGAGUAGUGCAUUGGAUACUGGGAGACUUGAGUACAGAAGAGGUGAGUGGAACUCCAUGUGUAGCGGUGAAAUGCGUAGAUAUAUGGAAGAACACCAGUGGCGAAAGCGGCUCUCUAGUCUGUAACUGACGCUGAGGUUCGAAAGCGUGGGUAGCAAACAGGAUUAGAUACCCUUGUAGUC